rnacentral:lncRNA from 1 species
GAGGCGGGAGGGAGGACAGGACCAGGAGGGGGAAAUGGAGAGACUGACGGUCGCGGAGAAAGGAGUAGGGCGAGGAGGUGGGAAGGGGUGGGGUUCCUGCGGGGAGGGACCUCUCCGAAUCCCGACCUACUGCCUGCGAAAGUGGAGUCUGUCUUUUGGGGGCGGACUGGAGGGAUGGCCAGAAUCCUACUGACCCUCCCCCGCCACCCCCCAAGAAACCCUGAGAUUUUGCCGAGGGAUGGGGUGGGAGAAGCAGAUGGAAAGGCCGGGCAGGAGUGUGUCUGAAGAAAGCCUCUUCCCAACACUGGGGCACAUCCAUCAGGAGCACUGCCCGUCACAUUGUAUCCAUCAUCACAUUCCACAAGCUUUUAAGUAGAGUCUCCCUUAGACAGUCCACAUGGACUUCCCUGGCUUGGGUCCCACCUUCCUCAGAAACCUGCAAGACCCGUGACUCGCAACCCUCUACGUUUAGCACUGCGACUCCUUCCCUUCUGGUCAUCAAUCCCUCGACCGUCUGGAGCUCCUCAAACCCCACAGGAGCCACCUGAGAUCCUGCUGCUUUCUAGUUCGGUUACAGACCCUUGACCUGCCUACCUGACUCGAGGCAAGAAAGAUCAGUGCGCGACUGGGAGCUCCUGAGGACACAGCAGUUAGAGAAAAGAAAGGGGAGAUACUGGCACUAAACUAAUUGAUUUCAGAACAACAACCUUUGCCCAAACCGACCCUUCACACAGGGUAACUGAGGGGUCCAGGAACCUCGCCAACGCCGGUUCCCGAAGACUGUAGUUCCAGCCUGGCCGAAGAGCGCCACCUGGCGGUCCGCCCUCCCAACCUGGAUUCUCUUCGGCCCCGCGGGAGUUCUCGAAGCCUGAGCUAAACAGGGGCAGAACUGUCACCUCCCCCUGUACGUCAUUCCGAGGGCCCCGCCCCUGCUUGGAACGCGCCGCCUCCCGACGGGACUGGCCCUAGCGCCUCCCGCGCAGAACGGCCGCCCUUCCUCCCUCACGGGCUGAAUGCCGCUCGGGUAGAAAAUCUGCUUAACGUUCCCCCCAGGAUCCGCCCCACCUCGUAGCCCACAGGGAGCCCGCCCCUCCCCCCAUGGGAAUCUGCCCCUCGUCCUCUUCCUUCCCCUGAGGGAACGUGCCGCACCGCCCUCCCCCGCCCUGUCCCUGCCGAGGAAGGGGCGCCCCAGCUCUUCCCACCCUCGCAGGGAGCCUCUUCCUAACAACAGAGCCCAAAUCCAGGUUGGUGAUGAGGCCUCCCCUCCCCUGGUCGCCGGAGGACCCCGCGGACCCACGCUCCGCAGCCCCGGGAGCGGGCCCCAACCCUCUCCCCUCACCCGCCAGCGGGG